UACGGAGGGUGCAAACGUUGCUCGGAAUCAUUGGGCGUAAAGCGCACGUAGGCGGUCUUGAAAGUCGGGCGUGAAAUCCCUCGGCUUAACCAAGGAAGUGCACUCGAAACUUCAAGACUUGAAUACUGGAGAGAGUCGCAGAAUUCUCGGUGUAGAGGUGAAAUUCGUAGAUAUCGGGAGGAAUACCAGUGGCGAAGGCGGCGACCUGGUCAGAUAUUGACGCUGAGGUGCGAAAGCGUGGGGAGCAAACAGG
rnacentral:rRNA from 1 species